rnacentral:tRNA from 1 species
GGAAAAUCCGUCGGCUUUAUAGACCGUGAGAGUUCAAAUCUCUCUAUCCCCC